AUGAGCAUCUUUGCUGCUGUCCCACCUCCCGUUGUUCUGAGGGUCUCCAGGCUGUGCUGUUGUUUCCUUAUUGCAGCUGAAGGGAGGCGCCCUGCCCUGGGCACCACUUCCUCGACUGAGAAUGCAAACUUCUGCCCACGCCCCUCCCCUCGGUGGGAACAAGAAGUGAAACGAGGCUGCAGAUGGGAGGAAGGGGGCCAGCGGGGGUCCUCUGGAGACACCCAGACUUUCUGGUUCACUCUGACGGCACAGUCCCAGCUGUUCCAGGAAAACAGAAGUGGUGCCCUCAGGAAGCUGGGACCAGGAGCCGCUGACUCCAGACUGCCCACCAGGCUCUGGUUCUGCAUGUGCUUAACAGCCAACUGGGACGGACAGCUCCAGUCCCGUGUCCCUCACCCGUGUGGCCUUUAUCAGACCUUCGCAGCCCUAGCACCAAGUCCUACCCCAAACCCUCAGCUGCCCACCCUGCAACACUGACCAAACCCUGAGUCCAGCCAUCUGGCCCUCAGAAACUGUCCCCGGCUCCAGGCCAAGCUGCCUUACAGAUGGGCCCUGGGUUCCCUAGGAAACUGCAGGCUGAACUGGCUGUCAGUGGAGGGUUUCGGCCGUGUGGUUGGCCACCUGGGCAGAAGCCUUGCAAACUGCCUUCUUACCUGGUACUUCCCCUUCCUGAGCUCCAAACUCAACCCUUUCUGAGUCACCUGGGCCUUGGACACCUGUCCCUUUGGAGUCAUUUACAUCUUAGAAACCCAGGCCUUCUAAAUCACAGUCACCUUGGAUAUCAGAUGAGUGCCCUGCCUCACUUCAGUCUUCUGGAUCUCAAAUAUUUCAGCUGGUUCUUGGUGUUCCUCCUGCAUAUCCUAGGCCUGUGAGGGCUGGACUCCAAGAACUGGCCACGCCGUUCCUAAAACCAAGUCUCUGAGUCGCCAGAGCCUUGGUUACUUGCCCAGAUCAACAAAACCCAGAAGCAGGGUCAGCGUCCGGCCUUCACUCACCCCUCCGCUCAUGCAUCCACUUCUCCUGUCAACGAGGGUUCACGGAGCAGGUGCUUUGGAGCCACAGCACGUGCCAGUCGCCCAGCAAGGAAUGGCAAAACAUGCUUCCCAGACUGCAGAUGCUCACAGCCCAGGGGAAGGUGUCCAAGGCGAUCUAACCCAUUUCAGCCCCAUUGAACCAUGUCACAGUGAGUUGGGCAAGUUUCACGUACCAGGUGAGCACUCGGGAAAGGCAUCUAACGCGUGCAGGGACUGUCUUCCUCAGACAGUGAGUGAUAUGGAGUCUAGGCUGAAUCCUGAAUGGCAGGGGUUCCAGUGGGGACGGCACUCUGGAUGUCCCGUGUAAAAACCCAAAGAGAGCACGACUCAGAAGGAGGAAUGGAAAACAUCGCAUGACGGGUGUCACGGGAGAGGGCUGCAGGGCCUGAGGGCGAUGGGAAGCCACAGAGGGAGUCUGAGUGGCACCCACCCCACCUGCUCUGCUCUUCACGACCAAGAGCUUCACUUGGAGACUCUCACUUUGCCAUCUGAUGGAGGAUGAGUUAGAGGGAAGGCGAGGUCUCGGGCAGGAAGAGGCGACUGUGGCAGGAUUCCAAGAAUGUGGUAAGGGCCUGCACCAAGGGACUGGUAAAAAGCACUGGGGAUGUAACAGCAGUGGGACUUGGUGGUUGACUGGGCAUGAAGAGGGUGCAGCAGGGAGGGGUCUCGAGUGAUGCCCAGGUCACCAGGAUGAUGGAUGCUGGAUGGAUGGGAACGUGGUGCUGUGAAGUGUCCUUAGAGGAUAAAGGAGGAACGGGAGACAAGGUCCUCAACAGCAAGAGCAGUGCUGACUCCAAGGCGACCUCGGAACUUCGUGUGCGGAGCUGCGUCGCCAGGAGCCGCCCUGGCCAAAGGCAGAGGUCUGAGAAUGAGCAGCACGCGAGGAAGUGGAGCCACGCGCACUGUCGAGUGAGAAGAGCAGAGGGCCGACGAUGGAGCAUGAAGAGGUGGACGUGUACAUAGUCUCCAAGUGUCUUCCGUACCUGACACUUUUCCUAAUUAUGACAAACAAGUAACUUUACAACGGAGAGACCUGCCAGAUACCAGCCUAACCCAAUGAUCAAAAUUAACAUCUCCAGGAAUGGGCCAAAGACCUCCUGAUAUGACGCCCUGCGAAGGACACCACCUCCCUUCUGUAAUAUUCCUCCCCCAAGUGCAUAAUCCGAGUCUAAUCAAGGGAACAGCAGACAAAUGUGUGCUGAAGAACAUUGUACAAAACAACAGGCCUGUGCUCUUCAAAACUGUCAAAGUUAAAAAAAACAACAAAAAAAACAAAAAAAACCGAAAGGCUAAGAAACCGUUCUGGAUUAAGGGAGACGAAAGAACAAACACAAUAACUAAAGAAUUCACUGCAUGAUCCUAGAUUAGAUCCUGUAGCAAGAUUUAUAAAGGGGGGGGGCUUGUUUUCUUUUGCUUCAGUUGCUUUGUGGCAAUUAGCGAAAUUUGAAAUAAAAUUUAUAGUCAUUAUAGACA
ensembl:lncRNA